GGAUGUAGCUCAGUGGUAGACUGCUUGCUUAGUAUACACAAGGCCCUGGGUUCAACCCCAAGCACCA
rnacentral:tRNA from 1 species